rnacentral:rRNA from 1 species
GGCUGCAACUCGCCUACACGAAGUCGGAAUCGCUAGUAAUCGCAGAUCAGAAUGCUGCGGUGAAUACGUUCCCGGGUCUUGUACACACCGCCCGUCACACCAUGGGAGUCGGAAAUGCCCGAAGCCGGUGACCCAACCAAAAGGAGGGAGCCGUCGAAGGCAGGUCUGAUAACUGGGGUGAAGUCGUAACAAGGUAGC